rnacentral:rRNA from 1 species
GUGUUUAGUUGCAAACAGGUCAAGCUGUGCACUCUAGACAGACUGCCGUGGACAACACGGAGGAAGGUGGGGAUGACGUCAAAUCAUCAUGCCCCUUAUGAUCUGGGCUACACACGUGCUACAAUGGCCGGUACAACGGGCAGCGAAGGAGCGAUCCGGAGCGAAUCCUAAAAAGACCGGUCCCAGUUCGGAUUGCAGGCUGAAACUCGCCUACAUGAAGUUGGAGUUACUAGUAAUCGCGAAUCAGAAUGUCGCGGUGAAUGCGUUCCCGGGUCUU